rnacentral:rRNA from 1 species
CCUAACACAUGCAAGUCGAACGGUAACAGGAAGAAGCUUCGCUUCUUUGCUGACGAGUGGCGGACGGGUGAGUAAUGUCUGGGAAACUGCCUGAUGGAGGGGGAUAACUACUGGAAACGGUAGCUAAUACCGCAUAACGUCGCAAGACCAAAGAGGGGGACCUUCGGGCCUCUUGCCAUCGGAUGUGCCCAGAUGGGAUUAGCUAGUAGGUGGGGUAACGGCUCACCUAGGCGACGAUCCCUAGCUGGUCUGAGAGGAUGACCAGCCACACUGGAACUGAGACACGGUCCAGACUCCUACGGGAGGCAGCAGUGGGGAAUAUUGCACAAUGGGCGCAAGCCUGAUGCAGCCAUGCCGCGUGUAUGAAGAAGGCCUUCGGGUU